rnacentral:rRNA from 1 species
UACGUAGGGUGCAAGCGUUAAAUCGGAAUUACUGGGCGUAAAGCGUGCGCAGGCGGUUUUGUAAGUCUGUCGUGAAAUCCCCGGGCUCAACCUGGGAAUUGCGAUGGAGACUGCAAGGCUAGAAUCUGGCAGAGGGGGGGUAGAAUUCCACGUGUAGCAGUGAAAUGCGUAGAGAUGUGGAGGAACACCGAUGGCGAAGGCAGCCCCCUGGGUCAAGAUUGACGCUCAUGAC